rnacentral:rRNA from 1 species
CACGUAGGGUGCGAGCGUUGUCCGGAAUUAUUGGGCGUAAAGAGCUCGUAGGCGGUGUGUCGCGUCGGCCGUGAAAACCUGCAGCUUAACUGUGGGCUUGCGGUCGAUACGGGCAUCACUGGAGUUCGGCAGGGGAGACUGGAAUUCCUGGUGUAGCGGUGAAAUGCGCAGAUAUCAGGAGGAACACCGAUGGCGAAGGCAGAUCUCUGGGCCGUAACUGACGCUGAGGAGCGAAAGCGUGGGGAGCGAACAGG